UUAAUGCUCUUCACUACUCUCAGAGAAUCAAGAGAUUUUGGUUUAGAAGUAGGUGAACUCUCUUGAAUGCUGGAAGUUCAGAAAGCUUUUUAUUUUCUCUUUUUUUCUCAAUGGAAUAGUAACUUCUCUUCCUUAAAUGCUCCUCUUGCUUUUAUCUUUAAAUCUGAAGCUUUUCUACCAAGUUUGAAGUUAUUUAAGCUCAAAAGUAGCCAUUUCUGAUCAUUAGAAGUGAGAU
rnacentral:lncRNA from 1 species